rnacentral:rRNA from 1 species
CCUACGGGCGGCAGCAGUGAGGAAUAUUGGUCAAUGGACGAGAGUCUGAACCAGCCAAGUAGCGUGAAGGAUGACUGCCCUAUGGGUUGUAAACUUCUUUUAUAUGGGAAUAAAAUGUUCCACGUGUGUGAUUUUGUAUGUACCAUAUGAAUAAGGAUCGGCUAACUCCGUGCCAGCAGCCGCGGUAAUACGGAGGAUCCGAGCGUUAUCCGGAUUUAUUGGGUUUAAAGGGAGCGUAGGUGGAUGGUUAAGUCAGUUGUGAAAGUUUGCGGCUCAACCGUAAAAUUGCAGUUGAAACUGGCAGUCUUGAGUACAGUAGAGGUGGGCGGAAUUCGUGGUGUAGCGGUGAAAUGCUUAGAUAUCACGAAGAACUCCGAUUGCGAAGGCAGUUCACUGGACUGCAACUGACACUGAGGCUCGAAAGUGUGGGUAUCAAACAGGAUUAGAUACCCUUGUAGUC